UGCAAUCUACCUUUUACAGAGGGAUAGCCCAGAGAAAUUUGGAUUAAUACCUCAUAGUAUUCAGAGUUGGCAUCAUUUUGUAAUUAAAGUCACAACGGUAAAAGAUGAGCAUGCGUCCCAUUAGCUAGUUGGUAAGGUAACGGCUUACCAAGGCUACGAUGGGUAGGGGUCCUGAGAGGGAGAUCC
rnacentral:rRNA from 1 species